GCUCAAUUAUAAAAACCCCUAUCAAAAAAUUAAUAAGUUUUGCUAAACCCGUUAACUAACAAUCAAACCAUUUUCCUGCCUUAGUAUGGGCGACAGAAAAGGCGCUAGAAGCAAUAGAACUAGUACCGCAAGGGAAAGCUGAAAAAGAAAUGAAAAAAACCAUUUAAGCCUUAAAAAGCAGAGAUACAUCCUCGUACCUUUUGCAUCAUGAUUUAGCCAGAACCCCUGAGCAAAGAGAAACUAUAGUUCACUACCCCGAAACCAAGUGAGCUACCCCGAGACAGCCUAUAUUAGGGCCAACCCGUCUCUGUGGCAAAAGAGUGGGAAGAUCUCCGGGUAGGGGUGAUAGACCUAUCGAACUUGGUGAUAGCUGGUUGCCUAAGAAAUGGAUAUAAGUUCAGCCUUGUAUGUCCCCUACCCAAACAAAUUACUGCCUUAUGGGAUAGAGAAAACUACAAGAGUUAGUCAAAGGGGGUACAGCCCCUUUGAACCAGGACACAACCUGACCAGGAGGUUAAGCGUCAUAUUAGACAAGAUACACAGCUUUAGUGGGCUUAAAAGCAGCCAUCCACCUAGAAAGCGUUAAAGCUCAAGCAAACCUAAAAAUCUAUUAUCCUGAUAUAUAACCCCAAUACCCCUACUAAUAUUAGGCCUUUCCAUGCCCCCAUGGAAGAGACACUGCUAAAAUGAGUAACAAGAAGGUGAACCCUUCUCCUCGCCCACGUGUAUGUUAGACUGGACCCACCACUAACAAUUAACGAACCCAAUAAAAGAGGGAAAAGUGACCAUUUAUUAAAACCAAGAAAACCCCACACACAUUUAAUCGUUAACCCUACACCGGAGGGCAUUAAGGAAAGAUUGAAAGAAAGGGAAGGAACUCGGCAAACACAAGCCUCGCCUGUUUACCAAAAACAUCGCCUCCUGCAAAAAUCAAUGUAUAAGAGGUCCUACCUGCCCAGUGACUUAGUUAAACGGCCGCGGUAUUUUGACCGUGCAAAGGUAGCGCAAUCACUUGUCUUUUAAAUAAAGACCUGUAUGAAUGGUGAAACGAGGGCUUAACUGUCUCCCCUCUCUAAUCAGUGAAAUUGAUCUACCCGUGCAGAAGCGGGUAUAAGUAUACAAGACGAGAAGACCCUAUGGAGCUUUAGACAUAAGGUCACCUAUGUUAAAACCCCCAAAUAAAAGGAACAAAACAAAAUAGCAACUGACCAACGUCUUCGGUUGGGGCGACCACGGGGAAAAAUAAAUCCCCCACGUGGACUGGGAUAUUUUCCUAAAACCACGAGGCACACCUCUAAGUCACAGAAUUUCUGACCAAGGGAUCCGGCCUUUGGCCGAUCAACGAACCAAGUUACCCUAGGGAUAACAGCGCAAUCCCCUUUGAGAGUCCAUAUCGACAAGGGGGUUUACGACCUCGAUGUUGGAUCAGGACAUCCUAAUGGUGCAGCCGCUAUUAAGGGUUCGUUUGUUCAACGAUUAAAGUCCUACGUGAUCUGAGUUCAGACCGGAGUAAUCCCUGUGUGUUUUUAUUUGAAACCGGAGUAAUCCAGGUCAGUUUCUAUCUGUAAAGUCACACCUCCUAGUACGAAAGGACCGGAGACAUAAGGCCUCUGCCCCCGACACGCCUUACUUCUACUUAAUGACUUCAACUCAAUUAGACAAAGAAGGACAUAAAAACCCCAAAGACAUUUGGAG
rnacentral:rRNA from 1 species